CCUACGGGUGGCAGCAGUGAGGAAUAUUGGUCAAUGGCCGGAAGGCUGAACCAGCCAAGUCGCGUGAGGGAAUAAGGCCCUAUGGGUCGUAAACCUCUUUUGUUAGGGAGCAAAGGCGUCCACGUGUGGACGAGAGGAGAGUACCUGAAGAAAAAGCAUCGGCUAACUCCGUGCCAGCAGCCGCGGUAAUACGGAGGAUGCGAGCGUUAUCCGGAUUUAUUGGGUUUAAAGGGUGCGUAGGCGGAGUGUCAAGUCAGCGGUAAAAUUUCGGGGCUCAACCCCGUCGUGCCGUUGAAACUGACGCCCUUGAGUGAGUGAGAAGUAAGCGGAAUGCGUGGUGUAGCGGUGAAAUGCUUAGAUAUCACGCAGAACCCCGAUUGCGAAGGCAGCCUGCCAAGCCAUGACUGACGCUGAUGCACGAAAGCGUGGGGAUCAAACAGGAUUAGAUACCCGGGUAGUC
rnacentral:rRNA from 1 species